rnacentral:lncRNA from 15 species
GCAUGCUCACAAUGGAAAAAAACAACAUGCUCUUGUUAAGGCUGGAUAAGAGGACAGAGGACUACGGCAGUGAGAGUGAAUGGAGAACUUUCCUGAAGAUUGCUGCUAUUCUCCGGCUUAUUGCCUCCUGUCCUUCAUGGUUUCACAUGACGUCCCGGGUGUCAGGAUCGCCUUCAAGCUAUAAAUGAGGAAGCUGAUGAUACCAGUGGACUGGGAUCAAAAAGGAGGAAAUUGGCAGAGGUAGAAAGGAACGGACAAAAAUUAAAUACAUUUCUUAAAGUGUGGGAUGAUAUAAAAUCCUGAAAUAUUUGUUGGGGCACAGGAAGGAAAAGGAGAAUAUUUCCCUCAAGGGAACUUUUGUUGUUUGAGGAACCUCAGGAAGGUGUUGAGUUAAUCUCUCCAUUUAGAGCAGCAUGGGAGAGGCAGGAACGCAGAUUAAAACACCUCCUCUGCUGCUGUUUUCUUACACAUAAAAGCUUCAUAAUGAUGUGUUUGGGACUUUGUUGACGUGCAAACUAACAUGACAACAACCUAACGGCAAAAAAAGUUGCAAAUUUCAGGAAAAAUAGGAAAUUAUCCCUUCUCACAAACUUGCAUGCCAAUUACAACAAUGGAUGCAAUAAAACAGUAGUUAAUUACAACCUUUGAGCAAGUAACAUCUGAGGCUGGCGGAGGUAAACUCCAGAGCACAAUAUAAUGCAGUCGCCUCCUUUACAUGAAAUACAACAGACCCUAUUAGGACAGAAAAUCCAAAUCUUGCUCUCUGCAGAUAUUUUACAGGAAAUAUAACAGCUGAAAAUACACAUUUCAAAUUUAGAGCAAACUUUUCAGUCAAUAGGUUUCCUAAAACAAAGAGGAGAUAGUCUUGAAUGCACCAGCAGGAUGCCUCUUUGUUAUCCCAGAAACAAUUAGACAGCACAAUUGUUUUGAAUAAGAAUAGACUGUUUCAGAUCAAAGUGAAAGUAAGAAGUCUUUUCAGAGCCGACUAACAAAGCAGACUACCUGCAGGUAGCCCUUUGUUUCAUUUUUAGCAUUAACAGAAACAGCAUUUCAUAUUAACUCUGACAAAUAGUAUAGCUGGCAAUCACCUAAUCUGAGAACCAUUUAGAGGCUCCCCUGGAAUGGUUUUAUAUUUAAGGGUUAAAGCGUAGUUUAAAGAAAUCCAGGAAUCAAACUUAUGGCGUUUGUUAGAGACUGUGAUUCUUAAAAAUCAUCUUGAACAACUUAUCAUUCUCAAGUGGGGUUAUUGUACCUAAAUGGGAUUUCUUGCAGCACCAAUCAGUGCUGGAGAGUAACUUUCUUUUUGUAUUUCUAUCUUCUUCUGCUUUAUUCUUCUACUCAACUACAUUUCAGAGCUUUUAUUUAUUAGAAUGUCUUUAUUGGAGUAAAAGGUUUUGCCAUUAAGGAACAACUGAAAUGAUGAAGAUUUUGUGUAAAUGCCAACGUGUGUAAACUGUACAUAAUAUCACAGACUAAAGUCCACUGAUAAAGUAAAGAUAAGUAAAAUGCAGUAUCUCUGAUUUACAUUAUCAAACUGAUACCAGUGACAAAAGAAGCCAACAAGUUAAAGGUUAAAGAUAUUUCACAUUUGAGACAAAAGUCAGUUCCUUUAAAAAAUUCCCCCAAAAGUCCCAAAAAAUUGUGAAAAAAAUCCUGAAGAAAAAAAACUUUCAAAAAUCCCUAAAAUGCCCCAAAACUUCCUGGUUUUAUAUUACUACUUCUACUUAACUACAUUUCAGGGGUGACUGUUGACCUUUUUACCUAUGUAACAACAAAACUUGAAUUCCACCCAUAUUAUAAACUUACAACAUAAUGACGAGUUGUUUUAGAUAAAAUCCUCAACAACAUAAUAAAAUCACUAAAAUAAGCUCCACUUCAACCAGUUACAACAUUGGAACUUUUAAUUUUGAGACAUUUUCUUCCUUUUUUUGUGUAAAUUCUGGGUUAGGGUUAGGGUUGCCCCUGUGGACAAAAGUGGUAGUGUUUCUACUACCUCGUUUCAUUGAUUUCAAGGGAAAGGCAUUAUGAAUACAGUGUUGUGUGCUUAUGUAGGUCAUAUGGAGGCAUCAGUAUUAAAUUGAGACUGUUUCAUAACCAGUUAAAAGUAAGUUUAAGUGACACUGUGAAGGCAGGACAUUAACUUGUGACAGAGUGCUGUGGUAUUGCUACUUUUACUGAUGAACAGUCAAAGAUCUGAAUACGUCUUCCACCACCGACACAAACACAUAUUGAAGCAGUAAGAGAAGCCCUGCAGGCAUCUGUGACACAUUGAAGCAACAUAUGUGAAGAUUUUUUAGCCUCCUGGUCCAGCGUGGCUCUCAGUAGGAGACAGACAGAGGACAGAAUAAUAAUUAGGAAACUCAUCCUGAAGCACACCAGGAGAAACACAGAGCGUCCUCAUAAUUUAGACCAAAAGGCCAAUAACUGCCGGUAACCACAGCCUCGUCCUGCCACGUCAUCAAAGCUGGGAGCACAAUAGUAAAGAAAGCGAAAGCAGUUUUUUCUACAUGAUAAUAGUCUUAAAGAACUGCAUCAGAGCACAGAACUGUAACAUCCAAAACAUGAAUAAUGAGGUCAAGCUUACUCAUGUCUGUGUGAAGUUACAGAUCCUUGUGAAAAGUUGAAGUUAAACCUCACAAAGAUCCUGCAAACAAAUAAAGGUGUUGUCUCCCUGCCAGUAAAAGAGCAAACCCCCGCCACUGUCUCCGUUCAAUGAAAAGGAGGCGAGAAAAAAAGAAACUAAAAGAGCCCAGACUGAUUUUUAUGUGAAUGUUGACUAAGAAUGGUCUCCAUCUGUGUAAACCCACUCAAACAGUGACUUCCUGUGAGUAACAGUCUGAAGCCUGGAGCAAAUCACUGAUAUUUAUCAUGCAAGAUGGCACACAUUCCCAGUUAGACUGCUGCUGGUCUCCCAUUCUGGCUCGGGCCUGCUGCGAGAGGCUACUUUUGAACUGUUUUUUACCCCAAAAUGCCAGGAUCUGACUCUCAGAGUUGUAGGUAAGGUUGGUUUCUCUUUGCUUUUAUUCGCUGAAGUCCCGGCGAACAUUACGACAGACUUUUCAAAGAUGUUUUAGAUAUUACGUACUGCAUAGAGAAGUGGAUUAACAGGAAGAGUAACUGAACUCUCUCAGUGGCCAACCUGUAAUGUUUCAGCUUCUGUUGGUCCUUAUCGCUCUUACCGCGGAUGUAAGUCAGUCUCUUUUUCUCUUUUUGUUUUGCUGGUUAAAACGGAAAUUUGUCAAAAUUCCUAUAACUUCUAAGGUUUAAGAGCCACAGUUAGCAAUUAUUUGAUCAUUUCUGAAGUCUCCUUGUUAGCAACGUGCUAAUGAAAUGGGUUCAAAGCAGAUAUUUCCAGUUUGAUUUUCCUAAAUUGAGUGUUUUUGUUGCGCACUGUAGGGAGUAUCAAUCAAACCGGCGUCGGUUUAUUCCUUUAAAGAAUGGCUGUCAUCUGUUUUCGCAAAUGAAACCCUUCAUACGAAUAUAAACAGUGUAAUUUAAAGUAAAUUAUCUAAUAAUUACACAACUAAUAGUUGUUUAUUGUGUACUUUUUGAUUAUGUUUAGGAGGCUGCAAACUUGGAAGACAAGACUAUGUUUUGUUGUACAUAUAAUGACAAUAAGUUGGACUGAUUGAAUUGAUAUACAGUAAAUAUUUAUAUAUAUGUAUAAAUUGAAUAAUGUCAGUAAUGUAUUUCUUCAAGCUCUGUGCAGAAUAUUUAAAAUUGAGCACAAAAGAAAACAUUUACAACCCUGUCUUAAGUUUCCCAUAAGUCUGUCCUUUUCUACGUUUUUCUCGGCCUUCUGAAAAAACACGCAAAAUCCUGCCUUUGGUCAACAUUACGUUUUGUUCUUCUGGCGUCCUGAGAUCCAUCCAAACAAACUGAGAAGGUGACACUGACGGCAGCAGACAUAAACAACAUGACAGCUGCCCUCCAUCCCUCCCGUCCUCUGAUAUUAACAUCUCUUAUUGACGCUAUCCUAAAUGUUACAGCAUCCCCGUCCAUCAAAGCAGAUGCUGAGGUGACGCGUUUGUCUGUCUCCUUGUAAAUAUAUAUCUUGGCAUUGAAGUCACUGAGGUAAGAGACUGUAAACUUGUCAUUUGUCGGUGUUAUUUUGGUUUUCCUCUGUUAAAGCUCCGAGAUUUUCAUGUUCUCUUUUAAAAGAUCAGAUGUUUUGGAGCGUUUUAGCAUGUUUCCCCAUGUAAGUUAAUGGAAGUAAACACACCAAACAGUGUUUUUUCCAUCACCCUCAGUUGUCAACCCGGCUACCCACGUAUUAAUGAUGCAAUAAAAGCCAUACAGGAGGAGUAAGUCAUGGGUAAUUGCAAAGUCAUGCUCCAUAGGACCGGAAUGGUUUAUUUGAUUAACCUCUAGUGACAGGUCAGAUGUUGGGAAUAUGUUUUUCAACCAGAUGAUCAUGGGUCAUUUAUGACCUCUUGCUGAAGGAUAAUCAAUAGCUGGAGAGACAGGCAAGCAGACAGCUGACAAAAUCUGUCGUCGGGGUUAUGUUUGUAUUAUGUCUGGUCCUGAGGCGUAAGAACUGGCAAAUAUCACAAUGCUGCCGAGGCUCGUUGACACUUUUUUUUGCCAGGGCUGGUGUUUACUGAGAAAUGAAAAGGG